rnacentral:rRNA from 1 species
GUCGAGAAUCAUUCACAAUGGGGGAAACCCUGAUGGUGUGACGCCGCGUGGAGGAUGAAGGUCUUCGGAUUGUAAACUCCUGUCAUGUGGGAGUAAAGCCGGGUGUUAAAUGCAUGCCGGUCUGAGAGUACCACAAGAGGAAGGGACGGCUAACUCUGUGCCAGCAGCCGCGGUAAUACAGAGGUCCCAAGCGUUGUUCGGAAUCACUGGGCGUAAAGGGUGCGUAGGCGGCGCGGAAAGUCAGGGGUGAAAUCCCGGAGCUCAACUCCGGAACUGCCUUUGAUACUCCCGCGCUUGAGAACUGGAGGGGAGACCGGAAUUCACGGUGGAGCAGUGAAAUGCGUGGAUAUCGUGAGGAACACUCGUGGCGAAGGCGAGUUACUGGACAGCAUCUGACGCUGAGGCACGAAGGCCAGGGGAGCGAAAGGGAUUAGAAACCCCGGUAGUCC